rnacentral:rRNA from 1 species
CACGUAGGGGGCAAGCGUUGUCCGGAAUCAUUGGGCGUAAAGAGCUCGUAGGCGGCUCAGUAAGUCGGGUGUGAAACCCUCAGGCUCAACCUGGGGACGCCACCCGAUACUGCUGUGGCUAGAGUCCAGUAGGGGAGUGUGGAAUUCCCGGUGUAGCGGUGAAAUGCGCAGAUAUCAGGAGGAACACCGGUGGCGAAGGCGGGUCUCUGGGCCGUAACUGACGCUGAGGAGCGAAAGCGUGGGGAGCGAACAGG